ACCAUUAUGCUCAGAGUGUUCUCCAUGACAAAGAACUACUCUCCAGUGAACAAGACUUUCCAGAGCGUUAUCUUACCUGGGGGAAGGGCACUUCCCUGUCUCUCCCUCCAGUUAAUGAUGACUGUGCCAGGAAGGGUAGAUUAAAGAGCAGGAAGAUGAGUUAGGAGUACAACUUUGAUAUCUCAGACCAAGCUAUUUUUAUCUCCGGUGCUAUUAACUGAACUGUGUUUCCCGCCUGCUACCCUCCCUCUAUCAUACGUGGAAGCCCGAAUUCCCAGUGUGACAAUAGUUGGAGAUGAAGUCUUUAGGAGGGUCUCUUCUGCUACUGCAUGGAGAAAUUCUAAAGGGACAAGAGUGGGUGCAAGGAGACCAGAUAGCAGGCCUUUCCCUUGGAUGGAGAAUCUUCUUGGGCCCCACAAUCAGGGUGGAAUUAAUCAAAACUAUGGACAAUGAAAUGGCUUUGGGAGAGGAGACCUAAAAAAGAAGAAGCUUAGGGUCAGGCCUGCAGGACAAGGGAAGAGGAAGAUGAGGCAUGCAAAGACCAUGGAUAGACUUUUAUCAGAGGCAGAAAGAGAAUAAAAAUGUGGUGUGUUAUGGAACAAGGGAAUAAAGUAUUUCAAAAAAUAAAUAGUCCACAGAGGCUCUGAUAAUUGUUUAAAAAGUCAAAGAAAUAAAACAGCUAGUCUCUGAAGAUGACCCCCCAAUGAAUGGUGCCUCCUGAAAUUAAUACCUCUAUGGAGCAUCCUUCACAUUGGAUGAGGGUUGCCCCUGUUCAACCACUAAACUGCACAGAGGAACACUAUGGGACUUUUGAGUUUAGGUCAUGUGAAUCCUUUUAAUGUCCUCCUUGGUCUCUUGAAAUGCUUGCUCAAAGGGAGGCCAGCCAUCAUGUAAGAAGUCCUUUUAUCUUUAGACAUUCACGUUGUGAUGAAGUCCAAACUAACUGUAAGAAUGCCUCAUGGAAGGAGAGAGGGAGAGAGAGAGAGACCAAGAAGAGAGAGAGAGGCCUGGCCAGACGCAGGUUAAUCUAGCUAUUCCAGCCUGGGUAUCAGAUGUGAGGAAAGAAGCCAUCUUGAAUGUCAAGAUGAUUCCAGCCCUUUGAGAAACCCCAGGUGAGAACUGUGCAACUGAUCCCAGUCA